rnacentral:rRNA from 1 species
CCUACGUGGUGCUGCAGUGAGGAAUAUUGGUCAAUGGGCGCGAGCCUGAACCAGCCAAGUAGCGUGAAGGAUGACUGCCCUACGGGUUGUAAACUUCUUUUAUAAAGGAAUAAAGUGAGGCACGUGGGCCUUUUUGUAUGUACUUUAUGAAUAAGGAGCGGCUAACUCCGUGCCAGCAGCCGCGGUAAUACGGAGGAUCCGAGCGUUAUCCGGAUUUAUUGGGUUUAAAGGGAGCGUAGAUGGGUUGUUAAGUCAGUUGUGAAAGUUUGCGGCUCAACCGUAAAAUUGCAAUUGAUACUGGCAGUCUUGAGUACAGUUGAGGUAGGCGGAAUUCGUGGUGUAGCGGUGAAAUGCUUAGAUAUCACGAAGAACUCCGAUUGCGAAGGCAGCUUACUAACCUGCCACUGACAUUGAUGCUCGAAAGUGUGGGUAUCAAACAGGAUUAGAUACCCUAGUAGUC